AACGAACGCUGGCGGCAUGCCUAACACAUGCAAGUCGAACGAGACCUUCGGGUCUAGUUGCGCACGUGUGCGUAACGCGUGGUAACCUACCCUUGGGUUCGGAAUAACUCCCCGAAAGAUGUCCUAAUACCAGAGAGGGUCUUCGCACCAAAGAUUUAUCGCCUUUGGGUGGGCCCGCGUUGGAUUAGCUGGUUGGUAGGGGAAAAGCCUACCAAGGGGACGUUCCAUAGCUGGUCUGAGAGGAUGAUCAGCCAGACUGGGACUGAGACACGGCCCAGACUCCUACGGGAGGCAGCAGUGGGGAAUAUUGGAGGAUGGGCGAAAGCCUGACCCAGCAAUGCCGCGUGAGUGAUGAAGGCCUUAGGGUUGUAAAGCUCCUUUAGACGGGAUGUUAAUGACAGUACCGGGAGAAUAAGCUCCGGCUAACUCCGUG
rnacentral:rRNA from 1 species